UACGUAGGUGACCAGCGUUGUCCGGAUUUACUGGGCGUAAAGAGCGCGCAGGCGGUCGUUCAAGUCGAGUGUGAAAGCCCCCGGCUCAACUGGGGAGGGUCACUCGAUACUGAUCGACUGGAAGGCAGGAGAGGGAAGCGGAAUUCCCGGUGUAGUGGUGAAAUGCGUAGAUAUCGGGAGGAACACCAGUGGCGAAGGCGGCUUCCUGGCCUGCUCUUGACGCUGAGGCGCGGAAGCUAGGGGAGCAAACGGG
rnacentral:rRNA from 1 species